CCUGAUGAGUUGUUGCUGGCUCUCUAGGGAGCAUGUGCACACUUGUCAUCUUUAUAUCUCCACCUGUGCACCUUUUGUAGACCUGGGUAAUCUUUCUGAAUGCCCUUGCAUUUCAGGUUCGAGGAAUUGACUUUAUGUCUCUCCUUACAUUUCCAGGCCUAUGUUUCUUCAUAUACCCCAAAUGUAUGUUUUAGAAUGUAACAGAAUGGGCCUUUUGUGCCUAUAAAUCUAUACAACUUUCAGCAACGGAUCUCUUGGCUCUCGCAUCGAUGAAGAACGCAGCGAAAUGCGAUAAGUAAUGUGAAUUGCAGAAUUCAGUGAAUCAUCGAAUCUUUGAACGCACCUUGCGCUCCUUGGUAUUCCGAGGAGCAUGCCUGUUUGAGUGUCAUUAAUAUAUCAACCUCUCUAGCUUAUGCUUGUUGAGUGUUGGAUGUGGGGGGUAUUUUUGCUGGCGUCUUUAUGAAGUCAGCUCCCCUGAAAUGCAUUAGCGGGACAAUUUGUUGACCGUUCAUUGGCGUGAUAAAUAUCUACGCUAUUGACCGUCAGUCAGUUCAGCUUCUAACAG
rnacentral:rRNA from 1 species